CUCAAACUUGAGCAAACAUCAGAAUCACCUGCUGGGCUUGUUAAAACACAGAUGGCAGGCCCACCUCCAGAGCUCCUGGCCCCACACCCCUGGGGUCAAGGGCAUGCCUCUGAGACCCUCUGCUCUACACCCCUGCUUCUCAGGGUAGUCCCAGAACCACCAGCAGCAGCAGCCCCAGGGCACUUGUGAGGAACCCAGAGCCUCAGACUUUCUCCCAACCCCAUGGAGGUGGAAGCCGUGUUCUAACAAGAGCGAAGCCGGGGUCACAUGCAUGCAGCAGCUGGAGAGCCCUGCCCCAGACAUCCAGAGCUCUCGGCCCCAACACUUCAAGAUGCUCCCAAAGCACGAGCCACCCAUGAGCUCCCUUCCACGUCCCAGCCCUGUGAUGUGCUGAGGCAGGUGGGGAAUGUGAGGCUUAAAGAAGUUCAAUAAAACAAAGCAGAUGCUACAGAUGAUGAAAACCAGAGCCUUGAUCCGCAUCAAGGUUGAGCUAAAUCCAGAGCCCGUCAAUUAUUUCAGACUAUAUUGAAAAUGGCUACAAUUUUUUUCAGACCACAAGUUGGGAAAUGGCAUCCAGGUUGAGGUGUGCCUGGAAGGCCUGGAGUGACUGCUGUCCGUGACCUGUCCAACAUCUUUUUCCUCCUUUCCUCCUUCCUGUUCAAACCUCAAUCAUGUUAUAUAUGUCUUUAAAUAAUUUCCAGCUUCCAAGGGAGAGUCCUGAUUGAAAUAAGAGGAUCCUUGAUUGGUGUUUUCCCAACCACUGCUACUGGUCUGUGGGUGAGCACAUGGCCCAGUUACACUGAAGGGAGGGGGUUAUAGUCAAUAUGGUAGAGAUACUCUUCUCUUUCCUCUGGAAAAAAAACUGGCAGCCAUGUGAUAGCCAUGAAGAAAACCAGGGGAAGACAAAGCCAGCACUCCACGAAUGGCAUUGUAGCAAGAUGGGGAAAAACUGGGUCUGUGCAAAAAAAAAAAAAAAAAAAAAAAUUUCCAUUGAGCUGCUGACU